AACUAAGUAACCGCGUGCAUUUUUAAUGCAUGAGGAAAGUCCGAGCUCCACAGAGCAGGUUAACGGUUAACAACCGCCGAGGGCAACCUCAGGGAAAGUGCAACAGAAAUAUACCGCCCUUAAACAGGGUAAGGAUGGAAAGGCGAGGUAAGAGCUCACCGGCAUGCGAGAGAUCGCAUGGCCCUGCAAACCCUAACCGGAGCAACACCGUUUGGUGAAAUAUGCGUUUGCUCGACGCUUUAUAAAGGUGGCAACGAGUCACUGCGGUAACGCUUGACCCAGAUAGAUGGUUACUCACGACAGAAUUCGGCUUAUCGGUUUACUU
rnacentral:RNase_P_RNA from 1 species